UCCCUCCCUGUAAUAAAGAGAAAAAACAAAAAGAGUCGGGCAUGCCGCCCCUGGCCGCCGCCGACGCCUUCCUCGUUCUCGAGUUCGUCGCCGGCAAUCGCCUCGUGCCUCCUCCUGCCUUUGCCGCCCUCCUCGCCUCUCUCCCAUCAGUAUCCCCGCACACCUCCCCGCGCCUACGCAGAGGCAUCGCGCUCCGCGCCCUAGAUGCCGUCUUCUCGCUCUCCGACGCCGACGCCGCCAUCCUCCUCCGCAAGGCGCGGGCCGUCCUCGCCGACCCUGACCUCGCGUCCUGCUUCCCCGACCGCCUCACUCUGCCCGUCGCCCGAGAUGACGAGGCUGCGGUGGUCGACCUCAAGCGCCUCGUCGAUGUCGAGUGGGCGGAUCUCCCUCCCUCCACCCUUGAGAUUGCGGCCGACCGGAUUGCUGGCGACGGAGCCCUCCAUACGUGGGCCGACGCCGACCAAGACACGCGUAAAAAGCUUCGCCUGCUCGUAGGGGAGUCCAUGGAGCUUGACAUCUUAGGCAAGCUUGGACAAGGUCCAUCUAAGGUUGGUGCCGAUGAAGCUGACCUUACCAGGGAAAGCGGCAAAUCUGGCCAUGCUCAAGAGGGUUGCAGCACUCCACAUCAACAAGACCCAGCAAAAACAACAACAGAUGCUCCAAAGUUGGUAACAAGUGCAACAAUCAAAGGCAAAGAUAAAGCUACAUCUUCUUAUGUAACUGGGCUGGUUGCCCCUGACAAUCACAAGACCCAUCCAGUAACAGGUUCUAAGCGUGGUCUUAUGGAGAGGAAUCGUACUGCAACUGUUUAUGAGUGGGAUGAUUCGGGUGACUCUGACCAUGAAAGGGUACCGCACAAGCGUCAGUUACCCACUUAUAAAAAGAAACCCGAACCUUCAUUUCCACACAAGUCAAGAAAGAAGUGGAGCGAGAUGCAGGAAAAAUCCUUGAUGGAAGGGGUUGAAAAGUAUGGCAAAGGCAAUUGGAAAGAAAUCAAAAUUGCUUACCCUGAUGUGUUUGAAGAUAGAUCAACAGUCGAUAUGAAGGACAAGUUCAGAAAUAUGGAGAGGCACUGAUAAUGGGUCCGAACAUAGAAAGGCAUGCUACCUGAAGAUGUGAGCUAAGUUCUCUCUCUGGUAGCUAUGAUUUGUAAUAAGUAAAUGUAGCACAUGUGCCUUGAUUCUCACUGAUGAGCCCUGGACUUGUGCAUGGGGUCAGGUGGGGUGGUGGCAGCAAAAUGCACACCUUAAUAAAUUUGCAGAUGGAGAUUAGUACUAAAUUUGCAGCUUGGGACUAGGGAGGGUGAUCACAUGAGACUUGAGAAUGCAUGUGAUCAACAUACACUUUUGUUGUCAUUGUUGGUUGUACCAAACCAAGCCAAACGCGCGGUGCAUCUGCAUUAACGUACGUACGCACUAAGAAAAAUCAAUCAACAUGUGUCUUUUUUUUCCUUUUGCAUAGCUGUACAAUUGAAGAUGCUCCUGUGUCUCUUUUACAUGGAAGAAUGGGAAACUCAUUGCUGAUUAUGGAUUCAAGGACAAAAAGGGAAGGAAGGAUGUCAAUUUGAUGAGACAAAUCGACCAUGUAGAACGUCCAGUUGCAAAAGUAAACAAAACAUAACAAAUGGAGCAAUGUUGCACCCACUCUUUUUUUAGAUUUAAUUAAUUUGUAUUAAACAAGUGAGCAAUUUGCUUCCUAACCUGCGCUUGUGUUUUGUGUUUA